rnacentral:rRNA from 1 species
AACGAACGCUGGCGGCAGGCCUAACACAUGCAAGUCGAACGCCGUAGCAAUACGGAGUGGCAGACGGGUGAGUAACGCGUGGGAACCUUCCCUAUGGUUCGGAAUAGCUCAGGGAAACCUGGGGUAAUACCGGAUAAGCCCUUCGGGGGAAAGAUUUAUCGCCAUUGGAUGGGCCCGCGUAGGAUUAGCUAGUUGGUGAGGUAACGGCUCACCAAGGCGACGAUCCUUAGCUGGUCUGAGAGGAUGAUCAGCCACACUGGGACUGAGACACGGCCCAGACUCCUACGGGAGGCAGCAGUGGGGAAUAUUGGACAAUGGGCGAAAGCUUGAUCCAGCCAUGCCGCGUGAGUGACGAAGGCCUUAGGGUUGUAAAGCUCUUUUGGCGGGGAAGAUAAUGACGGUACCCGCAGAAUAAGCUCCGGCUAACUUCGUGCCAGCCGCCGCAGUAACAC